rnacentral:tRNA from 1 species
GUCUGAAUAGUUUAAUGGUAAAAUGUCUCCUUUACACGGAGAAGCCCCGAGUUCGAUUCUCGGUUCGGACA